GGAGAGAUGGCCGAGCUGGCUGAAGGUGCACGACUGGAAAUCGUGUGUGCUGUAAAAGGCACCGAGGGUUCGAAUCCCUCUCUCUCCGCCA
rnacentral:tRNA from 1 species